rnacentral:rRNA from 1 species
CUCCGGGGAUUAUUGGGCGUAAGAGCUCGUAGGUGGUUGGUCACGUCUGCUGUGGAAACGCAACGCUUAACGUUGCGCGUGCAGUGGGUACGGGCUGACUAGGGUGCAGUAGGGGAGUCUGGAAUUCCUGGUGUAGCGGUGAAAUGCGCAGAUAUCAGGAGGAACACCGGUGGCGAAGGCGGGACUCUGGGCUGUAACUGACACUGAGGAGCGAAAGCAUGGGGAGCGAACAGGAUUAGAUACCCUGGUAGUCCAUGCCGUAAACGUUGGGCACUAGGUGUGGGGGACAUUCCACGUUCUCCGCGCCGUAGCUAACGCAUUAAGUGCCCCGCCUGGGGAGUACGGUCGCAAGGCUAAAACUCAAAGGAAUUGACGGGGGCCCGCACAAGCGGCGGAGCAUGCGGAUUAAUUCGAUGCAACGCGAAGAACCUUACCAAGGCUUGACAUACACUGGACCGUUCUGGAAACAGUUCUUCUCUUUGGAGCUGGUGUACAGGUGGUGCAUGGUUGUCGUCAGCUCGUGUCGUGAGAUGUUGGGUUAAGUCCCGCAACGAGCGCAACCCUCGUUCUAUGUUGCCAGCACGUGAUGGUGGGAACUCAUAGGAGACUGCCGGGGUCAACUCGGAGGAAGGUGGGGAUGACGUCAAAUCAUCAUGCCCUUUAUGAUUUGGGCUACACACGUGCUACAAUGGACAAUACAAAGGGCAGCUAAACCGCGAGGUCAUGCAAAUCCCAUAAAGUUGUUCUCAGUUCGGAUUGUAGUCUGCAACUCGACUACAUGAAGCUGGAAUCGCUAGUAAUCGUAGAUCAGCAUGCUACGGUGAAUACGUUCCCGGGUC